rnacentral:rRNA from 1 species
UCAACCUUGGAAUUGAAUUUNAUAUUGGNAAGCUUGAGUCUCGUAGAGGGGGGUAGUAUUCUAGGUGUAGCGGUGAAAUGCGUAGAGAUUUGGAGGAAUAUGGUUGGCGAAGCGGCCCCUUUGGACGAAGAUUGAUGCUUAAGGUCAGAAACGUGGGGAGCAAAAAGGAUUAGAUACUUUGGUAGUCCACGCUGUAACCGAUGUCGAUUUGAAGUUUGUCCCUUUUGAGCGGUGCUUACGGGAAUUACCGGUUAAGCGGACCGCUUGGGGAGUACGGUCGCAAGGUUAAAACUCAAAUGAAUUGACGGGGCCCUCAACAAACGGUGGAGCAUGUGGUUUAAUUCGAUGCAACGCGAAGAACUUUACCUGGUCUUGACAUCCACGGCAGUUUACAGAGAUGAGAAUGUGCCGUCGGGAACCGUGAGACAGGUGCUGCAUGGCUGUCGUCAGCUCGUGUUGUGAAAUGUUGGGUUAAGUCCUGCAACGAGCGCAACCCUUAUCCUUUGUUGCCAGCGGUCCGGCCGGGAACUCAAAGGAGACUGCCAGUGAUAAACUGGAGGAAGGUGGGGAUGACGUCAAGUCAUCAUGGCCCUUACGACGAGGGCUACACACGUGCUACAAUGGCGCAUACAAAGAGAAGCGACCUCGCGAGAGCAACCGAACCUCAUAAAGUGCGCCGUAGUCCGGAUUGGAGUCUGCAACUCGACUCCUUGAAGCCGUAAUCGCUAGUAAUCGUGAAUCAGAAUGCGACG